rnacentral:rRNA from 1 species
UACGUGAGGUGGCAAGCGUUGUCCGGAAUUAUUGGGCGUAAGCGCGCGCAGGCGGCCUCUUAAGUCUGAUGUGAAAGCCCCCGGCUCAACCGGGGAGGGCCAUUGGAAACUGGGAGGCUUGAGUAUAGGAGAGAAGAGUGGAAUUCCGACGUGUAGCGGUAGAAAUGCGUAGAGAUGUGGAGGAACACCAGUGGCGAAGGCGACUCUUUGGCCUAUAACUGACGCUGAGGCGCGAAAGCGUGGGGAGCAAACAGG